UACGUAGGGUGCAAGCGUUAAUCGGAAUUACUGGGCGUAAAGCGUGCGCAGGCGGUUUUGUAAGUCUGUCGUGAAAUCUCCGAGCCUAACUCGGAAACUGCGUUGGAUACUAUCCGGCUAGAGGAAUGGAGGGGAGACUGGAAUUCCUGGUGUAGCGGUGAAAUGCGCAGAUAUCAGGAGGAACACCGAUGGCGAAGGCAGGUCUCUGGGCAUUAACUGACGCUGAGGAGCGAAAGCAUGGGGAGCGAACAGG
rnacentral:rRNA from 1 species